rnacentral:rRNA from 1 species
CAGAUUAAGCCAUGCAUGUGUAAGUGUAAGCUGAUUAAUAGUGGGACUGCGAAUGGCUCAUUAAAACAGUGAUAGUUUAUUUGAUGGAUUUCAGAUGGAUAACCGUAGUAAUUCUAGAGCUAAUACAUGGCCAGUGUGUAUUAGAUAUCGCCCCUGUGGGAACAACGAUACACCCAUACCGUAUCGGGAGAUACGGUGCAUCAUUCAAGUUUCUGCCCUAUCAGCUUUCGAUGGUAGUGUAUUGGACUACCAUGGCGUUAACGGGUAACGGAGAAUUAGGGUUCGAUUCCG